UACGAAGGAUCCAAGCGUUAUCCGGAUUUAUUGGGUUUAAAGGGUGCGUAGGCGGGCUAUUAAGUCAGUGGUGAAAGCCCCAAGCUUAACUUGGGAAUUGCCAUUGAUACUGAUUGUCUUGAGUACACUUGAAGUGGGCGGAAUGUGUCAUGUAGCGGUGAAAUGCUUAGAUAUGACACAGAACACCGAUUGCGAAGGCAGCUCACUAAGGAGUUACUGACACUGAGGCACGAAAGCGUGGGGAUCAAACAGG
rnacentral:rRNA from 1 species